AAGGAUUCCCCUAGUAAUGGCGAAUGAAGCGGGAACAGCUCAAAUUUGAAAUCUGCGUCGCUUGCGGCGCCGAAUUGUAGUUUCGAGAAGUGCUUUCUCGGCGGAUCCGACGCCGUCCAAGUUGUCUGGAACGGCACGUCGCAGAGGGUGACAACCCCGUUUGCGGCGGCGUCUGGCCGCUCACGAUGCGCUUUCCAAGAGUCGGGUUGUUUGGGAAUGCAGCCCAAAAUGGGUGGUAGACUCCAUCUAAAGCUAAAUAUUGGCACGAGACCGAUAGCGAACAAGUACCGUGAGGGAAAGAUGAAAAGCACUUUGAAAAGAGAGUUAAAUAGUACGUGAAACCGUUGAGAGGGAAACGAACGUGGCUGGCAAUGCGCUCGUCGAGAUUCAGCCGGACGAUGCGUCGGACGGGCGGUGUGCGGAUCCUUCGGACCGCGGCCGUCCGGCCUCGACGUCUCGACCGUCGCACUUCUCGCGGGCGCGCGUCAACGUCGGUCGGAACUGGGUUUUUCAAAGGCCCCGGCAAGGUGGGUUUGGUCGUUCGCGGCCGAAUCGUUUAUAGGCCGGCGUCGCAUGGCCCGGGUCCGUCCGAGGAGAGAGAGAUCUCUUCGGUGCGUGCCUUUCCCUUAGGGGAAGGGCUGGAGCUCCGUCGCUCCGGCCGGYGGUCGACUGCUGUGGACCGCGUGCGGUGCACGUGCGACUGUCGUCGGUCGCUGUGGCGGAUGUCUCGCACUACGCGCCCAAGACGUUGGCGACCUAACGGCCUCGUCCGACCCGUCUUGAAACACGGACCAAGGAGUCUAACACGUGCGCGAGUCUUCGAGUGAUCGAAACUCCCGGGCGCAAUGAAAGUGAAGGUGGCCUUCGGGCCGCCGAGGCGAGAUCCCUUCUCCUCCGGAGGGGGGCGCAUCGUCGACCGACCUAUUCCACUCUUGGGAAGGUUCGAGUAAUAGCGCAUCUGUUGG
rnacentral:rRNA from 1 species